UACAGUGGGUGCAACGUUGCGUCGGAACGUUAUUUGGGUCGGUUAAAAGGCGCACGUAGGUCGGUUCGUUAAGUCGGAUGAUGAAGCCCGCUCGGACCUCAACCUGAUGGAAAGUGCACCGAACUGGACUGUGCUUGAGUAACGGAAAGAGGAGUACGCGGGAAUUCCCGGUGUAGAGGUGAAAAUUCGUAGAUAUCGGGAGGAACACCGGUGGCGAAGGCGGCGAUCUGGGUCGAUACUGACGCUGAGGUGCGAAAGCGU
rnacentral:rRNA from 1 species